rnacentral:rRNA from 1 species
UACGUAGGGUGCAAGCGUUUGUCCGGAAUCAUUGGGCGUAAAGAGCGUGUAGGCGGCUCGGUAAGUCCGCUGUGAAAGUCCAGGGCUCAACCCUGGAAUGCCAGUGGAAACUGUCGAGCUAGAGUCCGGAAGAGGCGAGUGGAAUUCCUGGUGUAGCGGUGAAAUGCGCAGAUAUCAGGAGGAACACCAAUGGCGAAGGCAGCUCGCUGGGACGGUACUGACGCUGAGACGCGAAAAGCGUGGGGAGCAAACAGG